AGGAUACUUUGGAUGACCCCAUCUGUCUGUCAAACAUCUGAUCAGACGGUCCAGAACGCCGCAGCAGAUCGCUUCCCCGUCUCAGGCCCCCCAAAGAACCCUAAACCCAUGGCGCUCUCCGCCGUUCGCCGCCUCUCCUCCUCCUCCGCCGCCGCUCCAAAAUACAACAAAGCUUUGGCGCCGGCGCCAAAGCUUUCUUCCCUCUUCACACCCCGCCGCACUCCGAAGCCUCGCUCUCUGCCUCCGGAUCCCGGCGAUGAGCCCCCGCGACGGAAUCCGCGGCCGCGGCCGCGGCCGAGGCAGCCGUGGGAGGAGGAGGCGGGGGCGCUGCUCCGGAGGCUUCACGAGGGGAGGUACCUCCCGGGGCCAGACUUCUCCUCGGCGCCGCAUGUCGUCUCUCCCGACGUCGUCAAGGCCGCCGCCGAGCGCUUCGGGCAUGACCACCAGGUCGUCGCAAAUGCUGUCUGCGUUUAUUUGGAGCAAAUAGCUGAGGCCCAUGUUCGACGUUUCAGUCAAUCGCUGCCUGAAGUGAGAGCUCCUAUCAGUCAGUCAGCCUCCGGGGUUCUGAGGAGUGAAGACAAAGCUAACUUGCAGCUAUCUAGGAUAAGCAUCAGGACUCAUGUUUGUUUGAUAUAUCGACAAUCUUACUAUAUCUGCCUAGAUGUGCCUAAUUGUGUAUAGGAACUUGUCUGGCCGUUGACAAUGACAGCAAGAUGGAACAAUUUGAUGACAUAGUAUUUCGUUCCCCUUAAGUUCCUUGCCACUUAAGCAUCUUAUGUUUGACAAUUAUUUAUCAAGAUGAUGAUUCUUCUUGAAGGUUACUUACAUUUGGAAGCCAUUGUAUCAGUUGCACUGUUUUCAGGACCUUACAUAAAAGAUAAAUGAAGGAUAUUGUAUCCUAUUUGCUAUGAUUUGUUCAUCAUUGGCUUCUCCAGUAUUACUAUGUAACGUAAAUCAAUAUUGCCGUGAUAUUGCGAUAUUAUCUCAAUGACACUCUAACACGGAUAUGAUAUUUCCUGUGUUCUACCGAUCUUUGUAGCAGAAAUUAAACCGAUUGAUUGCCCUGCGUAGUGCAGAAGAUGCCCCUGAAACUUGCAGGUAAAGUUCAGUGGUUCGCCCCCCAUCAGGCGGCAGUUCAGCACCAUCAGUCUGACUUCCAUGUGACGUUGGUUACCCACCUGCAGGCUGCAGGUCAUUUAGACUGGACAAAGAAAACGUCCCUGUAUGUCCGUAGCCGGCAAUGCGUUUGCCGGAACAUUUUAUAUUUGAAGCACUGCCGCUGGUGUGCUCCAGCAGCUCCAAUUGGCAUGGAGCCCCUUGUCCAAUCUGUACGUGCUGCUAGCAGCUCGUCAAUAGGAAACACUGGAAAGCUGGACGCCCUUUUCAGGCUAAUGCACCGUCACUUUCUACCAGUGCCUUUUCUCGUGGUCACGAGCCUGCUUACGAUGGAAUGCUUUUCACACCGUAUUUUAGUCAUGGAACAGUAUAUCUGUAACGUUGCAUUGCAGUAGUGCAAUGGCCGGAUCAAGAGUUCAUUUUGGGACUGAUUGGAAUGGAACACUCGUGUUUGACUUGACACCAGGGUUUGUCAUUCAAGGACGAGUUUCAGACUGUCGUGUGUUGUCGACCGCCUCUUCAGAUCCGUUUCAUACUCAGGUCGGCGUGCUGCUUCCUCAUGAAGGGUACAUGAACUGGAUCAUCGACUGUUUCCGUUUCCAUUUCCGCGUGAGGGAGACGGGAGGUUCAACUGCAAGCGAUGCUUUGUCCCCCAUUUUGGUGGGGGGGGGGGGGGAUGCGUUUCUGCUGGUUUCGUCUGACCGAACUCAACUCGUGUUGCCAAAGUCCUGUGCUCGUGCCGAUGGUUCCUUGAUCUGUUGCGUUGAAACUUGUAGCCUCGUUUGAUCGUUUCCCCUUUUUCCAAGUGGAGGUAAAGCAAGCCAGCUGUAACCUGGAAGAAUAUCUCUAAACACUUUCCCAUCA